rnacentral:rRNA from 1 species
GACGUAGGGCGCGAGCGUUGUCCGGAUUUAUUGGGCGUAAAGAGCUCGUAGGCGGUUUGUCGCGUCGUCUGUGAAAACCCACGGCUCAACUGUGGGCUUGCAGUCGAUACGGGCAGGCUAGAGUUCGGUAGGGGAGACUGGAAUUCCUGGUGUAGCGGUGAAAUGCGCAGAUAUCAGGAGGAACACCGGUGGCGAAGGCGGGUCUCUGGGCAUUACCUGACGCUGAGGAGCGAAAGUGUGGGGAGCGAACAGG